UGUGAAUUUUUUUCCGUGAAAAAUACAAAGGAGGAAGUGGAGCUGUAGAGAAAAAAAUGGAGGGGAAAACGGAGAAGGAAAACAAGUUUGUGAGGAAGACGGCGUGUGAUGUGGAGGCUCUGAAGAAGUGUUUGGAAGAAAAUAAAGGCGACUAUUUGAAAUGUCAGUCUCAUGUUGAAGCAUUUAGGUCAUCUUGCUCUAUCAACAAUUCUAAUUCUUCUUCACCAAAGCUCAAUUCCGUUGUCGAGGACCUCAAGUAAGCAACUUGAACAAAGAUUGGAGGACUGAAAUCCGUGUCUUUUGCUGCUAGCAGUAAUAAAACCAGAAAGAAGAUUCAAGUAUAAGUCACCGCAUUGUUUGUAACAUUCCUCAAUUAAGGAUAUAGUUUUCUUAUCUGUGCUAUUUCUUCAGCUUUAAUAUCUUUUCAGAUACUCUCCCAGAAAUUUGUAGUUUGUGAUAAGUAGCAAAGAAGAGAACUAAUGAGGAAAACAAAAUGUUGGUGGAUGAGCAGUUGAAGAUUAUAUUGGCCGCUUUUAGUUUGUA